CGUAGCCAUGACCAACCCAGCUAU
rnacentral:siRNA from 1 species